rnacentral:sRNA from 1 species
UAGAGAACAUUCUGCACCUUGAUAGUUUC